rnacentral:rRNA from 1 species
CAGUCGCCGCGGUAAUACGAAGGGUGCAAGCGUUACUCGGAAUUACUGGGCGUAAAGCGUGCGUAGGUGGUUUGUUAAGUUGGAUGUGAAAUCCCCGGGCUCAACCUGGGAACUGCAUCCAAAACUGGCAAGCUAGAGUAUGGUAGAGGGUGGUGGAAUUUCCUGUGUAGCGGUGAAAUGCGUAGAGAUCUGGAGGAAUACCGAUGGCGAAGGCAGCCAUCUGGCCUAAUACUGACGCUGAGGUACGAAAGCAUGGGGAGCAAACAGGAUUAGAUACCCCCGUAGUCCCUGUCUCUUAUAC